GCCCGGCUAGCUCAGUCGGUAGAGCAUGAGACUCUUAAUCUCAGGAUCGUGGGAUCGAGCCCCACGUUGGGUG
rnacentral:tRNA from 2 species